GUCUAUGGCCAUACCACCCUGAAAGCAUGUGAUCUCAGAAACUAAACAGGGUCGGGCAUGGUUAGCACUUAUAAGGAAACAGAAGAGGGGUUAUUUCAGCUUAUACUUUUGGAGAUUCCAGCCAUUGAUA
ensembl:rRNA Gm23065 predicted gene, 23065